rnacentral:rRNA from 1 species
CAGCCGCCGCGGUAAUGCGUAGGUGGCAAGCGUUGUCCGGAAUUAUUGGGCGUAAAGGGCUCGCAGGCGGUUUCUUUAGUCUGAUGUGAAAGCCCCCGGCUCAACCGGGGAGGGUCAUUGGAAACUGGGAAACUUGAGUGCAGAAGAGGAGAGUGGAAUUCCACAUGUAGCGGUGAAAUGCGUAGAGAUGUGGAGGAACACCAGUGGCGAAGGCGACUCUCUGGUCUGUAACUGACGCUGAGGAGCGAAAGCGUGUGGAGCGAACAGGAUUAGAUACCCCCGUAGUCCCUGUCUCUUAUAC